rnacentral:rRNA from 1 species
GACGAACGCUGGCGGCGUGCCUAAUACAUGCAAGUCGAGCGGAUGAAGGAGGAGCUUGCUCCUCCUGAUUCAGCGGCGGACGGGUGAGUAACACGUGGGCAACCUGCCCUGUAGAUUGGGAUAACUCCGGGAAACCGGGGCUAAUACCGAAUAACCCACCGGACCUCAUGGUCUGGUGUUGAAAGACGGCAUCUCGCUGUCACUACAGGAUGGGCCCGCGGCGCAUUAGCUAGUUGGUGAGGUAACGGCGCACCAAGGCGACGAUGCGUAGCCGACCUGGGAGGGUGAUCGGCCACACUGGGACUGAGACACGGCCCAGACUCCUACGGGAGGCAGCAGUAGGGAAUCUUCCACAAUGGACGAAAGUCUGAUGGAGCAACGCCGCGUGAGUGAAGAAGGUUCUCGGAUCGUAAAACUCUGUUGUGAGGGAAGAACAAGUACCGGAGUAACUGCCGGUACCUUGACGGUACCUCAUUAGAAAGCCACGGCUAACUACGUGCCAGCCGCCGCCGUAAGAC